rnacentral:sRNA from 2 species
UCGGGCGGAUUGCCGAAUCCUGCCACCGCACGGGGUCCGCACGACUCGCCGGCAGGAGCGGGGGACCCAAUCGUGGGCGCCGGAGACGACGUCCUUGGGGUGAAGUCGGACGGUCCUCGGACCGGACGGCCGGGUGAUCUCCCACCCGAACCCGACAGCUGACCUCGUAGGCGCACGGAGAGGCACG